rnacentral:lncRNA from 1 species
CCCAACUCCCACCCUCCAGAAAUUCUCUGAGCUCUUGCAGAUGUAUCAGGAAUGGAGUGGGGAAGGGAGUUUGGGGCAAGCGAGAGGCAGCAUUUGGGAAAAUGGGGAUGUGUGUCUGUCUAGUCUGUCUGUCUACCCAUUCACUCAUUUGUUCCGUCACCCGCCUUACCAAGUGUUCCAUGUCGUCCACGGAUCCUUCAGUUGUCUUUCCCUGUGACGCCUCCUCUCUCUGAGAUUCCUCUCCUCCUGCAGGCUAGCUUCUGUCCUUCAACCCCAGGGCUGCAGUUUUGUCUUUCCAAACUCGACUGGAAUCAGAUCUGAUCAUCGGAAUUCUCCCGUCUCCAAUAAAAAGAUUAACAGCUAGGACCGGUAGGAAAGGAUCAGCAUAGGAAUGGCUAUGUUGUAAUCAUCACCUUGAUGAGAAACACUGCGUCUCAAGAUUGGUUGACACAUGAUGAGUGUGCCUUGUAUAUUUAAUCUUCUUAAUGAAAUCCCAGGGAAAAUACCAACCCUGCCACUAAUGACAGUAAACGGGCUUGGCUCUCACAGAGUGCUCCUACUCCUGGGAGCACAAAGCGCUUCAUGAUUAAUUAUUUCAGUCAUUCUCACCGUUGUCCCAUGAGGUGGGUGACUGAGUGCUUCCUUUAAAAAAAAAAAAAAAAGAAAUUAAUUGUACUUUCUUCUGUUCUACAUUCUGUGUUCUAGAACUAAGUAGCUACCUUAUAAAGAGCCUCCGUAUGUCCACGGGUGGCCCUGGCUUUCAGAGUCACCAGCCGCUUUUGGAUACAAACCCCAAGCUCAGAGCAGAUGUGGGGGAGUAAAGUCGGAGGGAGUUUGGAUGGGAGGUUGGCAGGAUGCCACGCGUUGGAUGGCCUGGAGCUGGUGAAGACAGAGGGCGAUGGCCGAGCUGGUGCUUUGGGACCUCCGUUAGAAGUGGUGAUCUGGGCCGUGGAAGGUUUGCCUUUGAAAAUAUCUUCCUGAGGCCCUUCUUCAUUAUGCUGACUCUUCCCACAACAUUGUUGCUGGGGUCCUGGAGAAAGCUGCCAGUCCAGUUUUCCAGAGAGGACGCUGGUCCUUUCUCAUCCUGCUCUGAUCUUAGCAGCUGGGGGCUUCACAGGGACAAGAGGAAGGUGAGGUGUCGGAAACCCUCAGUAAUGCCUCUCAGCCCGUCUCCAUCCUCCAGCGAGCCUCCGUUUCUCUGCCAGGCUCGCCGUCCUCUUGCUUCCACCUCCUCAAAAAUGGACGGCCGCCUCUCGGGAUGCCUCUUGCCGGGGAGCAGGGAUGCUCGAAAGCUCCGGCCCUGCCUGGUGCUCGCCGCCUCCUUCCUUUACACUGUGCCAUUCAGUUCUAGUUCUGUCUCUUCAGUUAGACGGCCAGGUCUGGGGCCAUGUUUAGGUCACUGUAUUUUUGGUUUCCACUCCUUUUAAUUAAUUGCCCCUGCGUAGCCCUCAGCGCUG